GAAUGAGCCUGGACAAGAUAACGGUGUGAAAUUCUUCCCGAGUGCUUCUGGCCGGUUGAGGACAGCUCGGCCCACAUGUUGAAAUCUGGAGUGAAGCAGGUCUCGUGCACUCGAAAGGAACGAGGACAUGCAGUGUGGAGGAUGUUUAGAGGAACCUUACUGCAGAACGCACACUCAGGGGAAGACACUACUCCCGUUGAUCUACCAAACAAGGUCUUGGGUUUCAUUUACACUUGAAAAAAUACAUCAUGUGAACUACAGGUAAUGAAGUCAAGAGGCACAGAUUCAAACCAAAUAAGCCUUUCAGGAAGACUUCAGAAAGUAAGAGCUUCACUCUUCAUCGUGCCCUUUCUGUGGAAAGGAAAAGAAAUGUGUUUGAAAGGAUCCUGUUGGGGAAUCCCUUCCUGCAGAUCCUGAUGCCCUCCAGCACACCGUUACAGCGCAGCUGGUGCAUGACCAGAGGAUUCUCCAUCGCCCCAGGAGUCUUAGUCUCAUUGGGGAUGAGGCAGCGCACAAAGUGAGGUCUCGCAGGUGACUUUAUCACCGUCCCGACUCACAAUGGUUCCUUUCACGUACUCCUCCUCAGGAUCAGGGACGAAGCAUUCUUUCUUCAUGUCGAAGGGGCGCGUUUGGGCCUCCAGUCGCUCCCGGUCUGAUUUCCUGAGGAACGGAGCAGCAGCUCCAAACUCCUCCAUCGCGACAUCUCCCAUCUUUCACCUCGACUGCUGUUUAUGAGUGAAUGCAAACUGAUCACGGAAUGACAUAUAGGAGCAUAUUUGGACACUUAAGAAACAAUGCCAUUUUCAAUAAACAAACAUUCAAAGUAGAGCCCGACCGAUAAAGGAUUUUGAAGGUCGAUACCGAUACAAAUAUUUGUUGGUUUUAAAAUCCGAUA